rnacentral:pre_miRNA from 14 species
UUCUCAGCUUCGCUGUGAAAGAUCCCACGCAGAGAGACCCUUACUCAAGUCUUGGGAAAUCGCGGACCCCAGACACAGAGAGACCA